UGGGGAAUCUUCCGCAAUGGGCGAAAGCCUGACGGAGCAACGCCGCGUGAGUGACGAAGGCCUUUGGGUUGUAAAACUCUGUCUUCAGGGAAGAAAAAAAUGACGGUACCUGAGGAGGAAGCCCCGGCUAACUACGUGCCAGCAGCCGCGGUAAAACGUAGGGGGCGAGCGUUGUCCGGAAUUACUGGGCGUAAAGGGCGUGUAGGUGGCUCGUGAAGUCAGGAGUGAAAACCCGGGGCUCAACCCCGGGACUGCUUUUGAAACCAGCGGGCUUGAGUGCAGGAGAGGGAAGUGGAAUUCCCAGUGUAGCGGUGAAAUGCGUAGAUAUUGGGAGGAACACCAGUGGCGAAAGCGGCUUCCUGGCCUGUAACUGACACUGAGGCGCGAAAGCGUGGGGAGC
rnacentral:rRNA from 1 species